rnacentral:rRNA from 1 species
GAUGAACGCUGGCGGCGUGCCUAAUACAUGCAAGUCGUGCGAACAGACGAGGAGCUUGCUCCUCUGACGUUGGCGGCGGACGGGUAAGUAACACGUGGAUAACCUACAUAUAAGACUGGGAUAACUUCGGGAAACCGGAGCUAAUACCGGAUAAUAUAUUGAACCGCAUGGUUCAAUAGUGAAAGACGGGUUUGCUGUCACUUAUAGAUGGAUCCGCGCCGCAUUAGCUAGUUGGUAAGGUAACGGCUCACCAAGGCAACGAUGCGUAGCCGACCUGAGAGGGUGAUCGGCCACACUGGAACUGAGACACGGUCCAGACUCCUACGGGAGGCAGCAGUAGGGAAUCUUCCGCAAUGGGCGAAAGCCUGACGGAGCAACGCCGCGUGAGUGAUGAAGGUCUUCGGAUCGUAAAACUCUGUUAUUAGGGAAGAACAAAUGUGUAAGUAACUAUGCACGUCUUGACGGUACCUAAUCAGAAAGCCACGGCUAACUACGUG